GGCGGCAUAGCUCAGGAGGUAGAGCAGCUAGGCUAGGAAUUGAAAGGUUCCUGGUUCGAUCCCGGCUCCUCCA